rnacentral:lncRNA from 1 species
AGCUACCCUAGCUGGGGCACCAGAGAGAGAAAUCUAGGGCUGCUGUGCAACCCGCCAACCAGGCGCUGUCUGGAGGUGCUACCUGUCCGUUCAGGUCACCUGUGCGGGCUGAGAGGUCUCUGGACGCCAGUAGCGCAGGGUGCGUUUUCUUUUAGGAACAGAAAGAGCAAGCUCACCCGGACACGCACACACAGGCACAAACGCACCCUGACGACCAGGACAUGCUCAGACUUAUGCCGAACCACAGCCACAGCCACGGAGACACACCCGCGCCCGCUCAUUCUGGAGAUGACAGCUGUCUCCUGGUCCAACAGAGAGGUGGCUGUAAACAAACCCAGGAACACCCAGAAGCAGGAGGAAAGAAACACACAUAAGCGCUCCUGUGGAGACAUGGAGUGCGGACCACUCAGACACCGGUGUCCACAUCCAGUUCUCCACAGGAUCCCUCUGAGAUCUCUCCUCCUGGGUCUGGGAUACCCUGGACUACUAUGGCCGAUGUCUCUGCCAACAGUGCUUCCUUUAGUUGAUGAUGUUAAAACAUUGAUAUCUGGACCAUCCUCAGACAAGCUGCCAGUCACUUCGCCAUCACCUUGGCAACCGUGAAGUGGAGCAGCGCAACCAGCAAAGCUCUCCAAACAGAACCAGCAAAUUGGAGAAGGCAUCUGAUGUGAUAUUCGGAGAAAGCGUUUGGGCUCCAGAGAAGAUCCCUCUGGGAAUGGAAAAAAGAAGUGCCUGUCGUGGUGUUUGGGAGCGUGAGACGAUGAAGGGGUGUUCAGUGUUCUGUUUCUAGAUCUUUACAGCUCUACCCAGCUCCACACAUUUCAUUGCUAGAAAUCAAAAGAUAAUAAACUUUAAGUCUAUAA